UACGGAGGGUGCGAGCGUUGUCCGGAAUCACUGGGCGUAAAGGGCGCGUAGGCGGCUUCUCAAGCGUGUGGUGAAAGUCCGGGGCUCAACCCCGGAUCGGCCGUGCGGACUGGGGAGCUCGAGUUCUGUAGAGGCGGGUGGAAUUCCGGGUGUAGCGGUGGAAUGCGUAGAGAUCCGGAAGAACACCGGUGGCGAAGGCGGCCUGCUGGGCUAUGGCUGACACUGAGGCGCGACAGCGUGGGGAUCAAACAGG
rnacentral:rRNA from 1 species